GAUUUUGAAAAGGUGAUUCUUAUGUAUCACUCUAUUUAUUCCUUAACUAACUUUGAUAUUCUUCAUAUUUCUGUUUUCUCUUAUUUUUAAUAAAAAAGGAGAGUAGCAAGGGAGGUAAUGUAACGACUCAAGGAAAGCUCAAGCUACAUCUAAGCUUGUACUCCUAAAGUACUAGUUACUGUUACAGUUAGACAUCUGGAAUUAUUAUAAAGAGCAAUAUUUUCUCCCUUCCAAGCAAUGGGGAAUCCUAUUCAUUACCUUCUUUUACCCAAUCCAGAGGGGUAUUUCAUGCUCAACCAAGUCUUACGUUCUUAAGUGUUGUGGAAUCAU